rnacentral:rRNA from 1 species
AUGCUGGAGGGCAAGGCGGUGGUGGAGGACACGGACAUGCCGGCGCGGAUGCAGGCGGCGGCGACGUCGGCCGCCUCCCGCGCGCUCGACCUCUUCGACGUCGACGACUGCCGCGCCAUCGCCGGCCACAUCAAGACGGUAAGACAUCCUUCCACCCGCCCAUCUCCCCAUCUCUCCAUUGAUUGGUUCGUCGUCGCUGAGGAUCCAUCGUUUCCGCGCGUGCAGGAGUUCGACCGGCGGUACGGCGUGGGGUGGCAGUGCGUGGUGGGCGCCAGCUUCGGGUGCUUCUUCACCCACUCCAGCGGCACCUUCAUCUACUUCUCCCUCGAGCGCCUCACCUUCCUCCUCUUCAAGGCCGCCGCCGUCGCCGCCGCGGCCUCGUGUGAUACGUCGGGGAUGUCUUGA